rnacentral:misc_RNA from 1 species
CUGGAAGUCUCCUCUUUUUAGUGCCCCCAAGCCUGUUGCUUUCAUUAUUCUGCUGUACAAGCUGAUUUAAGAAGCCUGGGCUUUGCAUGGCCUUUGCAAGGAAUGACAUCAUUUGUUGCUGUCGCUGCUCCAUUGCCUGAACACGUUGCCCUACAGUUUGCAACUGGUUAUCUGUAGCUUGCUGCUGCUGCCUCAAUCUAACAAGUUCCUGCAUAAGCACAUUCUUGUCCCGUUUCAGUCUUUCAACCUCUUCCUCUAGUCCAAACAUCCCAACUUCAACACAUGCUGCAACCUUAGAGCUCUGAACCUGAGGCGGUUGAUUACUCUGUCCAUGAAGUGACUUUUUCCUAGAUAUACUCUUCAAGAGAUGCUUUUGUCCUCUUAAGAACCCCUCAUUUGCAAAUUCAUAGCGAUCUGGGUCAACUUUCCUGAAACCAUAAGUAUUCAACUGUCUGACAAAGCUAGAGAAAUUGCUGUGCUUGAAAUACUUCGGCAAAAGGUCCCUCUGAAACUCCGGUACAUUCCACACCACAAAACUAUUAUCACUGCUACUCCACGACACCACCGAAUUGGUGGAGGGGUCGUCCACCAUAUCGUAAGUCUUGCUCAGAAAUGGCGGCACCGAAUUCGCGGUCAGAGAUUCCAUGGUGAAAUUUGAUCAAACUAUGACAGGGAUCGAAAUUUUGUGGCCUG